GGGUGGCUCUCUGCAGUACCUGAAGCUGCGGGAGCGAAUGCAGAUACAGAAGGAGAUGGAGCGGCUGCGCUUCCUACUGUCGGAUCAGUCACUGCUGCUGCUUCCUGAGUACCAUCAGCGAGUAGAGGUGCUCCGAACCCUGGGUUACGUGGACGAGGCGGGCACUGUGAAGCUGGCAGGGCGGGUGGCUUGUGCCAUGAGCAGCCAUGAGUUGCUCCUCACUGAGCUCAUGUUUGACAAUGCACUGAGCACCCUGCGGCCUGAGGAUAUUGUUGCCUUGCUCUCUGGCCUGGUCUGCCAGAGCCCUGGGGACGCUGGGGAUCAGCUCCCAAACACCCUCAAGCAGGUAGGGGACACCACCCCUUUCUCCCUGCCAGGGCUGUGGCAUUCCUGACCUUCACCUUCAGGUAGUCCCCCAGGUGACCCCCUCCAGCCCUGUAAGUGCCCCAAGGAUGGAAAAUGGCUGCCUUCUUGAUCUGGUCCUUCCCUGUCCUGGAGCAGGAAGGCAGGCCUUAACCUCUCCUUCUUUCCUGCAGGGAAUAGAACGUGUCCGGGCUGUGGCCAAGCGGAUUGGUGAGGUCCAGGUGGCUUGUGGCCUGAACCAGACGGUGGAGGAAUUUGUGGGGGAGCUGAAUUUUGGGCUGGUUGAGGUUGUGUAUGAGUGGGCCCGGGGCAUGGUGAGUACCUGAGGUUUGGGAUUUUGCAGACGGCUGGCUGGGGAGAGUCUGCCCAGGCUGAGCGCAUCCAGUCCUCACCCUACUUUCCCCACAGCCCUUCUCCGAGUUGGCAGGGCUCUCAGGGACCCCUGAGGGCCUGGUGGUCCGCUGCAUUCAGCGCCUGGCUGAGAUGUGUCGCUCACUGCGGGGGGCAGCCCGCCUGGUAGGAGAGCCUGUGCUGGGUGCCAAGAUGGAGACAGCGGCUACCUUGCUACGGCGGGACAUCGUAUUUGCGGCCAGCCUUUACACCCAGUGAAUGCCCCAUGUAAAAAUGUGAUGAUAAAACAGCAAACCACUGUUGUGUGCUUGAGUUGUUGGGCAGGGAUGACUCAGCUAAGAAGACAGCAAGAGAACCUCUUAGAAAUAUGCUUUUAUUAUCUGCACACAGAGAUAUGACUGUCUCCCUCUAAAGCAUUACUAUUUGGGGGAGGGAGUCUUGGGGGGUGAUGGGAGGUCCUGAGUCAUAGCUUCCACAUACCAUAUGGGCAGGAAGGCGUAAGGUGCAUCUCGGUGUACAGACACGGUGACU
rnacentral:lncRNA from 1 species